rnacentral:lncRNA from 10 species
ACUCAUUUGGCAGCUAUCAACGGAGUAUUCACAGUACGCUGCUCACAGUUCUAACCGCGGAGGAUAGAGUUGAGGCCCACACGACAGCCCCUGCUCUCACAGAACUGAUGUCUCUAGAAGAGUCUUCCCUCAGUGAGAACGUUCUGAUUUCUAGAACAUUCUUUCUUCUGAUGAGUGAACAGCCUCACCGGAACUUCCCCAUCCUCCUGGCUUGGUUCCUGAAGUGGCCCAAGGCUGCCUUCUCCCUCCCGUGGGUGAACAGGGUCACUGCUUCCUCUCUUGUCCAGGCCCCCUGGCCUGACCCUGAGUCCCGGGCGUAACGGCGUUGUUGAACCACCACAACCCCAGGCGGCGCCUUCCUCUUGGCCCAGGGGCUCUCUUGGGGACAGUGUGCAGUACUCCCCAAGGGGGCUUUGCUGUGCAAAAGCAGCCCCUGCCGAUGCUGCGGCUCCCGUGGAUGGAGCACUGCCGUGGGAACAGAGUUGGAACUCAUCCAAAAGAAUAAAAGACAACUGUGUUGGAAGAUUGCCAAGGUUUGUAGCUGUGCCACCGCAGACUUCAGAGAUGAACACUGCCUUGGAGACGAGGAGGAUUCAAGUUGCAGAAGCAUUUAGGUAAAAGAAAAGAUAAGCUAAUUAAGUUGUCAAAAUUUUCCUUGAAGAAAGACUAAUUAAAUUGCCAGAUUCUCUCUCUCAGAACACGUGAAGACUGUAGAGUCUUGCAAAACAGAGUAUCAUUAUCCACUAGUGCUAACAUUCAUUUUCCUACUUCAUUUCACGUUCCAGUUGGAAGUACUCACCAGUUAGGUCCAUAGUCACAAACAUUGCACUGAUGGCUGGGGAACAUUUUGCAAAAUUGUAUGUCUGUAAGUCUAGACACAACACCAUGAAGCAUGGUACCCACUCAUCAUGUUGACAUUUAGGAGGACAGUGAAUGCCAGAAUCAUGAAUAGUUUUAUGUUUAGAUAACCAAUUUAAAAGAUUUAAACUUUCAAAAACUUAAAAAGAGCUUUUACAAAAUACAUUUGAUUUUAAAAGUUGAUCAUAAUUAUAACUUUACUUUGCCUUUAACUUUGUUGCAUAAUUUAGACUAUUUUUGAAAAAAAACUUUUUGUAAAAUUUAAGAAAAAUAAUUUUAAUUUUUCAUUGACACCUUUGAAGGAACUUUUAAAUUUUGUAUUCAAAUUUUUUUUUUUUUUGGUUGAGAUGGGGUUUCACUCUUGUUGCCCAGGCUGGAGUGCAAUGGCGUGAUAUUGGCUCACCGCAACCUCUGCCUCCUGGGUUCAAGUGAUUCUCCUGCCUCAGCCUCCCGAGUAGCUGGGAUUACAGGCACGCACCACCACGCCCAGCUAAUUUUUGUAUUUUUAGUAGAGAUGGGGUUUCACCAUGUUGGCCAGGGUGAUCUCAAUCUCCUGACCUCGUGAUCUGCCUGCCUCAGCCUCCCAAAGUGCUGGGAUUACAGGCGUGAGCCACCGCGCCUGGCCCCAUUUUGUUUUUUAAUCUCUAAUAUCAUUACUGACAAUAGAACACAAAUUAUGGUUAAACUUUUAACAUAAUUUAUGAUUUUAAUAAAAUGAAGUAAGGGAUAAAAACUUUCAUGGAAUAAACAUGUAAUAAUAUAUUAAUUAACUAUUUUUUUAUCAUCACCCAUCCAAACAUUACCUACUCAUCAGUAGAAUACCCAGGAAGGCACAAUCACUGCACUCAGCUGUCUUUGGCAUCUUGCUAGUUUUAGUAACAUAAAAGCCAUAAGGUUACACAUUUUGAAAGUUUGUUGCAGAGAAAGGUGUAUUUGUCAAGAGAGGAGGAUAGAAUGUACUUGAUCAGGCAGUUUGUGAGCUUGAUUUAUAUCUUUUAGAUAUUUGGACACAUGGCAUGAUGGACCAAAUUGUGUGCCCCCCCACUCCGAUUCAUAUGUUGAAGGCUGAAUAUGGCAUGAGGGCUCCCAGCUGUACUUUUGCCUUGAGCCCUGCAAAUGAACCUGUUAAGGGCAGCCUUGCUAGAAGCCAAGCUUUUUUACUUUGUUUUAAAUUGACACAUAAUAAUUUGUACAUAUUUAUAGGAUACAGUGUAAUGUUUUGAUGCAUGUCUAUGUUGUACAAGGAUCAAAUCAGGGUAUCUAGUGUAUCCAUCACCUCAAAAGACUUGUCAUUUCUUUGUGGUGAGAACAUUAAAAAUGUUCUCUUCUAGCUAUUUUGAUAUGCGCGAUAUAUUAUUGUUAACUACAGUCACCUUACUGUGGUAGAACACCAGAGCUCUUUUCUCCUAUUUAACUUUGUACUGGUUGGGCAACUUCUCCCUUCACUCCAUCUUCCCUUCCCCAGCCUCUCGCAACCACUCUUCUACUUUCUGUUUCUAUGAGAUCCACUUUUACAGAUUCCACAUAUGAGUGAGAUCAUGGCGUAAUUGUCCUUCUGUGCCUGGCUUGUUUAACAUCAUGUCCUCUAGAUUCGAUCCAUAUUGUCUCAAAUGACAAGAUUUCAUUCUUUUUUAUGGAUGGAUAAUAUUCCAUUGUAUAUAUGUACCACAUUCUUCUGUAGAUGGGCACUUAGGUUGCUUCUAAAUCUUGUCUACUGUGAACAGUGCUACAAUAAACAUGGGAGUGCUGAUAUCUCUAUCAUAUGGUAGUUCUAGUUCCAAUUUUUUUUUUUUUUUUUUUUUUUUGAGAUGAAGUCUCGCUGUUAUCGCCCAGGCUGGAGUGCAAUGGUGUGACCUAGGCUGGCUCACUGCAGCCUCCGCCUCCCAGGUUCGAGCAAUUCUUGUGCCUCAGCCUCCUGAGUAGCUGGCACCUGCCACCACACCCUUCUAAUUUUUGCAUUUUUAGUAGAGAUGGCAUUUCACCAUGUUUGCCAGGCUGGUCUCGAACUCCUGACCUCAGGUGAUCUGCCCACCUCGGCCUUCCAAAGUGCUGGGAUUACAGGUGUGAGCCACCGCGCCUAGCCCUAUUUUUAAUAUUUGAGGCACCUCCAUAGUGUUCUCCAUAAUGGCUGUACUAAUUUACAUUCCCAUCAACAAUGUGUAAGAAUUCCCUUUUCUCUUCUAACAGGGGUGAGGUGAUAUCUCAUUAUGGCUUUGAUUUGCACUUCUCCACCAUAGAAGAAUUUUGGAAACACAGAUAUAACUUCCAAAUCACACGUGUUACUAGUUAGAAAUCCAGGGUUCAAACAGGAGUCUGACUCCUGAGUUUCUGCCUCAAAAUGUGUUGCCAAACCUUUGGUAGGUUGUCAGCCUGGUUAAAGUGCAUGCCAGGGAAGUUCCCAACCUCUGCAUCCUCUGUGUUAGGAAAGACGAGGGUUAGAAAGGGGGAUGGGGCAGGACUGAGGGCUUUGCCUGCUCUACCAGUCAGAGGUAUUUGGAAAAGAGAUGGGAAGCACAAACGGAUUUGCUGAGAUUCCUUCAGUGGCCUGACUGUUUACAGCAGGACUGUCCAGUAGAGAUAGAAUGUGAACUGCAUAUAUAAUUUUAAAUUUUCUGGCCAGGUGCGGUGGCCUUGCCUGUAGUCCUAGCACUUUGGCAGGCCAACGUAGGCUGAUUGCUUGAGCCCAGGAGAUUGUGACCAGCCUGGGCAAGAUGGUGAGACCCCGUCUCUAUAAAAAAUACAAAAAUCAGCUGGGCAUGGUGGCACACGCCUAUAGUAACAGGUACUCAGGAGGCUGAGGUGAGAGGAUCCCUUGAGCCUGGGAGGUGGAGUUUGCAGUGAGCUGAGAUUGCAUCACUGCACUCCAGCCUGGGUGACAAUCUGUUUCAAUUUUUUUUUCUUUAGUAGCUACAUUAAGAAAAUAAAAAGAAACAGGUAAAGUUAAUUCUAAUAAUAUAUUUUAUUUAACCCAUCAAGUAAUGACUAGAAAAUUAUUAAUGAGGUAUUUCAUUUUUCAUACUUCACGUUAGAAAUCUGGGGUGUAUUUUACACUUAGAGUACAUCUCGAUGCCAACCAGCUACCUGUGAGCACUCAAGGGACACAUGUGGCGAGCAGCGAUCAUGUCAGACAGUGCACGUCUAGAUGUGCAUUUGGACAUCUGUGUCUGAGCGGCCUUGGGGGUUUAUGACCCUCUGGGGACCAGGAUUCCGUCACUAGUUCUCUCUGGCUCCACACCUAGCUGCAUGGUUGAUUAGUUCUCUUUUUCUGCUGGCAUGAAGUCAAGUUCACAAGAUGUGUGUGGCCACCCUGAAUUUAUUUCUCAGAGGAUUUACAGAUCCUACAAGGUGACACACUUGGUGUGCAGUGCUCCAGCCCCAGCCAAGGAGGCAGUAAAAGUGUAUCAAGAAAUCCUUGGCCCACAGAUUUUUGCCAACAAACAUUUCUCUACUUCUCAAUGAUGACUAUGGAAUGGUAAAAGUUUGAAGAUACCUUAAUUUUCACAGUCAGCUGGGUUAUCUCAGAGAGAUACUUUCCCUAGUGAGUGUUCUUAACACUUUCUUGAGUGGAAGGAAACAAUGCUUUUGAAGUGACAUUCCACGAUGAAUUCCUUCUGCUUCUAGAGAGAGUGAACGUUUUCAGUCAAAGAAGGUGCCAGCAAUUUGGAUUUUGGACUUGACUGCUUGGGAGAAGGGUUCAGAAUUUCAACCAGCAACAUGCCAAAUCCACCUGUGUCUCUCAGUGUUCGCUCACAGCCACUUUCUUUUACACAUUUAAAUCCUCUCUCCCCACUCUUAAGCAUUUCCUGUGGAAUAACACUCCCUGAAUCCUAGCUUAAAAAUAAACAUGGUGGUCAACAGCUGGCCUUUGCAAUCUGGCAGAAUGGAGGUUUUGUUCUGACUGUCACUUAAUAGCUGGGUGAUCAUGGCAAGACAUUUCCUCAUGGCAAAGAAUAGGUGAAAAGGUAUUUUCUCAUAUGUAAGAUAAGCAUAAUUCCUGUAUCCUAGGUUUUUGUGAGGAUCAAACGAAAUAGUGCCCACAAUGCACACAAUGCACAGUGACUGCGUACAUAUAGGUAAGCAAAUGUCGACUGCUACCGAAGUCUCUUGAGCCCUGGCAUCUGCCUGGUUGACCAACCAUAGACUGAUGCCUAGAUCUGAUGCUUUGUAUAGGGAGUGGCUUGAUUCCUAAGUAAAGGCCUUGACAUGCAGAAGUUGAUUCUCUUCUCUGUGGAGAUCAGAGGUUCUCAUACAGUGAGCUGGUACUGGGCUCACCACCCCUUGCUGAAGUUUUUUGUUGUUACUGUUUUUUUUUUUUUUUAUGUUUUUUGAGAUGGAGCCUCAAUCUGUCAUCCAGGCUGGAGUGCAGUGGCGCGAUCUUGGCUCACUGCAACCUCAGCCUCCUGGGUUCAAGCAAUUCUCCUGCCUCAGCCUCCUGAGUAGCUGGGAUUACAGGCAGGGGCCAGCAUGCCCAGCUAACUUUUAUAUUUUUAGUAGAGACGGGGUUUCACCAUGUUGGCCAGGCUGGUCUGGAACUCCUGACCUCAGGUGAUCCGCCCGCCUGGGCCUCCCAGUGCUGGGAUUACAGACGUGAGUCACCGAGCCCGACCCUUGGUAAGUAUUUAUUUUUUCACUCUUGAUUCUUCCUUCUUCUAAUUCUCUUCUCUUCACCGCUUUCACUUCACUUUUUCUUUCUGGUUCUUUUCUAGCUUGUGACCUGGGGAUGCUGGUGCCCUGUAUAUGCGUGGCUUAUUUCAGGCAAGGUCUGAGAAGCAGUUCUUUAAUGCAGGCUCCUUGGCACACCUGUUUCCUUUCUUGUGGGUGACAGCUGUGCAGUAAUCCUGAGGCGAGAGCUGGGAACCUCCAGUCAUUGCACUCGGCUCAGUGUGGGUUUUCCAUAAAUGGCCUCUGAUGAUGUGCUGGAGGGAGAUAAUUAACGCCUGGGAUGCUCUAUUUAUACAUUUGGUGCAGAGCUCACCCACCCACCUCCAUCCUGGGAACCAGCCUGGCCUCCAGCCUAUCGGAGAGGCUGUGUAGCUGCCACUUCACAGGGAUACCUGUAGCCCAUGUAUGGCAGGGUGAGGGAGUGGCUGCUAUGUGGGAGACACAGUGGGAAGGGCCACCAGACAGUCACCUCAGGGAGACCACAGGUAACUGGGUGGCUGGGCAGAUGGCAUGGGCAGCAGGACUGGGGAGCUGAGGCCCAACGGGGAAGAAAGGAUCAGAGCCAGGCGUGGGAGUGGGACACAAAGGCCAACAGUCAGACUGCAGCCAGUGGCCAGAAGUCAGGGGGCAGCCGGGAGUCAGGGAGCCCUCAAGACCUAGAGGCAAGGGGAGCCAGUGGUCACAGGUCAGGAGUGUAACUGGACAUCAACAGCUCAUCAGCCCCUUCCUCAGUUGGGUGGCCCCUGCGCACCUCCUGCUGUGGGAGCUGCCGAUGGUAGCAUGUGGCAGAUAGGGCAGGAAGGUGGGUGGGGGUACUGGGUUGAGAGGUGUGGGAUCUGGGGUAAGGGCAGAGUUUGACAUUUUGGCAGAAGUAGUGGUACUAGGUGUUGUUAGGAACUGAAUGUUUGUGUCACCCCCAAUUUAUAUCUUGAAGCCCUAACCCCAAAUGUGACUCUAUUAACGUUAAGUGAGUCACGAGAGUGGGGUUCUGACCCAUCAGGAUUGGUGUUCUUUUUUUUUUUUUUUUUUUUUUUUUGAGACGGAAUCUCGCUCUGUCGCCCAGGCUAGAGUGCAGUGGUGCAAUCUCGGCUCACUGCAAGCUCCGCCUCCUGGGUUCACGCCAUUCUCCUGCCUCAGCUUCCCAAGUAGCUGGGACUACAGGCGCCCGCCACUAUGCCCAGCUAACUUUUUGUAUUUUUAGUAGAGACGGGGUUUCACCGUGGUCUUGAUCUCCUGACCUCGUGAUCCGCCCACCUCGGCCUCCCAAAGUGCUGGGAUUACAGGCAUGAGCCACUGCCUGGUCAGGAUUGGUGUUCUUAAGAGAAGAGGCAGAGAGAGAGAACUUCCUUGCUCUCCUCGCCGUGUGAGGGCACGGUGACGAGGUGGCUGUCUGCAGCAUGGAAGAGGGCCCUGUAGAACUUGACCACGCUGGAACACUGAUCUCAGGCUCCAGCCUCCAGAACUGUGAGGAAAUAAAUUCCUGCUGUUUAAGCCACCCAGACUAUGGUAUUUUGUUAUGGCAGCCUGAGCUGACAAAGACAGUUGUUAAGGUUUGAUUUGUGGGGAGUGUGGGGAAGCGAACAUGUACUUUGAGAGGCGGGUAGUUUUGGGUCUGAAUCUAGCUUUGUGAUUACCAACCUAUGUGGCCCUUGGCAGCCUACUGACAUUCUUUUGAGUGUCUGUUUCCACUGACUGAAAGGGGCCAUGAGAUGCACCUCUUUGGGGUGUCAGGAGGAUUUAAGACAAUGAGAAAGUACGGAAUGGCAAGAUAAUUUCAGAUAUGUGAUAACUGCUUUAAAAAGUUGUUUUUCUCUCUCUUAGUUAUUGAAGAAGCUUUUGCUGAACAGGUGAUGUGGUCCUAUGUGGCAACCUAUAAUGUUGCCCACUACAGAUGACCUGGCUGGAAACAGAGCCUGGAAUGGGCUUGAGGUGGCAUGUGCACACUGGGCGCAUAUGCGUGUACUCAUACUUUCUGGCUUUGUUCUCUGCCUCGCUUUACGGCGCCAGGGAUCUGCCCUAAGCUGAAGUGGGCUGCAGUGUAGAUGAGGAAGGGAGUCAGAGAUCAUCACCUGGCCCCAUGGUUGUGAAGCGAAGGAGAGAGACAGCGCCUUAGUGAUUUCUUGAUUUCUAUGUAGUCACAGAAUAGGAAUUUGUGACUUUGGGGUCAUAAAUAGCCGCCACUUGCUAGCCCCAACCUCUGUACCUAAUCCUUGAGACGCGAGCUGUUCAGCUUACCUUGUGUAUUUCCUGAGCCCCUGAGAUGUGGAUGGUCUCAGCUGGGAUAUGCUGUAAGUGUAAACUAUAUGCUGGAUUUUAAAGAUUUUGAAAAAAAGAAGGUAAAGUAUCUCGUAAAUAAUUUAGAACAUUGACUGCAUGUUGAAAUGAUCAUAUCUGAGAUCAUAUUUGAAAUGAUCACAUUGAGUUAAAUAAAAUUAUUUCUCCCAGUUUCUUUUUACUUUUUAAAAGUGGUGCCUAGGAAGUUGAAAAUCACAUAUAUAAUUCAUAUUAUGUUUCUAUUGGUCAGCACUGCUUUACAGCAAAAUUCAGGUGAUAAAGAGAAAGAAUUAUUAAUACUGAGACCUGGACCCGACCUUAAUUCCUAACCAAUGUCAGGCUUUAGAAGAUGUAGCUUGUGAGCAUAUCUGCUAAGCUGCAGCUUUUUCAAAUGUUGGCCAACCCAUUCCCAAAGUAUUAAAAAUGCUGGCCUGUUUUUGGCCACUCUUCGGAAGGGUGCUUGGAAGUCUAGGAGGAGGCAGACUGGUGUUGCCCCACCUCACACCGUGCAGGUAGUGGUCACAUGGCAGCAGUGUGGCUGCUUGACACGCAAAGCAUGAAUGAGACAGUGGUGGGUACUGCAAGCACGUGAUGAACCAGCUGUGAAGCAUCACCACACACAGGAGCAGGAGCAGAAGGUGACCGGGGAAUUUGGACAGGAGAAUUCCAGAGAAGGCUGGAGCCCGUGGCUGGGCAGCAACAUGCCAGAUUAAAGAAUCCUGCUCAGUCUCUUGGAGAAGAUGUGCUGGGAGAGCCAGACUGUGCCAAAGCUGAUGGAGAAUCUCAGAGGCACCAACACCCUUGAGGAACUUUGAUCCAUUUCGGGAACUAAGACUUGGAUUUGAAUCCCGCUCACCCUGUGCUUGCUGUGGGAAUGUAGCCCUAAGCUUUAGUUUCUUAUCUGUAAAAUGGCCAUGAACACAUACUGGGCUGCUCUGAAGACUGGCUGAUGUGGGCCUGGAAAGCUGAGUGCGUGGACAGGGCCUGUCACGGCCAUCUGUCGCACCUGCCUGCCAGCAUCCUUUUUCCUUCUCAUACACCACCCUCAUGUCCUUUUGGAAUGCUCAUUCGUCUUCCACCUGCUCCUGUAGGGGACACACGACCCUGGCCAGGCCAGCCAGAGUCACAGAACCUGGUUUAGGGCUGGACAUGUGACCCUAUCCAGGCUGAGUGCAACUCAAUUCUGAGACUUUCGCUGGAAAGACUGGAACAGAGGGGAUGGGGCCUGGAGUUGCUGGUGGCCACCUCGGACCCACACAGGCAGAGCUUGCUUGAGAACAAAGCCAACAUGCAGGAGGAAGAGGAGGAGAGUUGGAUGCAUAUCAAUCCAUCCAUAGACAAGGAGCCUGGAGGCAUCCUUAGGCCCAGGAUGCAGCUCUGCUGCAACAGGAAGCAUCUUUGCAUUUCCAGGUUACGCCAGGCAACAGACUCCCUCUUUGACUAGUUCAGCCUCUUGGGAAAGCAUCUUGACCCAUUCAGUGCUCAGUACAUGCUACAGAAAGACUGUUUUUAUGUGCUUAUAAGUGAGAACAUGCUUUAUUCAGUUUACUAUUCCUGUGUUAGUUUGCUAAGGAUAAUGGUUCCAGUUCCAUCCAUGUCCCUGUGAAGGACAUGAUGUCAUGCUUUUUUAAUGGCUGCAUAGUAUUCCAUGCUGUAUAUGUACCACUUUUUCUUUAUCCAGUGUAUCACUGAUGGGCAUUUAGGUUGAUACCAUGUCUUUGCUAUUGUGAAUAGUGUUGCAAUGAACAUACAUGUGCAUGUGUCUUUAUAACAGAAUAAUUUAUAUUCCUUUUGGUAUAUACCCAGUAAUAGGAUUGCUGGAUCUCUAGGUCUUUGAGGAAUCACCACAUUAUCUUCCACAAUGGUUGAACUAAUUUAGUGUAUAAGUGUUCCCUUUUCUCUGCAACCUCAUCAGCAUCUGUUAUUUUUUGACUUUUUAAUAGCCAUUCUGACUGGUGUGAGAUGAUAUCUCCUUAUGGUUUUGAUUUGUAUUUCUCUAGUGAUAAGUGAUAUUGAGCUUUCUUCAUAUGCUUGUUGGUUGCAUGUAUGUUUUCUUUUGAGAAGUGUCUGUGUCUGUUCAUGUCCUUUGCCCACCUUUUAAUGGGGUUGUUUUCUUCUUGCAAUCUUGUUUAAAUUCUUUAUAGAUGCUGGAUAUUAGACCGUUGUCAGGUGCCUAGUUUGCAAAAAUUUUCUUCUGUUCUGUAGGUUGUCUGUUUACUCUGUUGAUAGUUUCUUUUGCUGUGUAGAAGUUCUUUAGUUUAAUUAGAUCCCAUUUCUCAAUUUUUGCUUUUGUUGCAAUUGCUUUUGCUUCAUUAUGUGUCUUCAUUAUGAAAUCUUUGCCCGUGCCUACGUCUUGAAUGGUAUUGCCUAGGUUGUCUUCCAGGUUUUUUAUAGUUUUGGGUUUUACAUUUAAGUCUUUAAUCUAUCUUGAGUUAAUUUUUGUAUGUCGUGUAAGGAAGAGGUCUCGUUUCAAUCUUCUGCAUAUGGCUAGUUAAUUAUCCCAGUAACAUUUAUUGAAUAGGGAAUCAUUUUCCCAUUGCUUGUUUUUGUCAGCUUUGUGGAAGGUCAGAUAGUGUAGGUGUGUGGCCUUACUGUUGUGUUCUCUGUUCUGUUGCAUUAGUCUAUUUUGUCUCUUUCUGUGCCAGUACCAUGCUGUUUUGGUUACUGUAGCCCAGUAGUAUAGUUCAAAGUUGGGUAGCAUGAUGGCUCCAGCUUUGUACUUUUUGCUGAGGAUUGCCUUGGCUAUUUGGUCUCUUUUUUAGUUAUCCAUAUGAAUUUUAAGGUAGUUUUCUCUUCUGUGAAGAAUGUCAAUGGUAGUUUAAUGGGAAUAGCAUUGAAUCUAUAAAUUGCUUUGGGCAGCAUGGCCAUUUUCAUGAUAUUGAUUCUUCCUAUCCAUGAACAUGGAAUAUUUUUCCAUUUGUUUGUGUCAUCUCUGAUUUCUUUGAGCAGUGGUUUAUAGUUCUCCUUGCAGAGAUCUUUCACCUCCCUUGUUAGCUGUAUUCCUAGGUAUUUUUUUUUUUGUGUGUGUGUGUGUCAGUUGUGAAUGGGAGUUCAUUUGUGAUUUGGCUCUCAGCUUGACUGUUGUUGGUAUAUAGGAAUGCUAGCGAUUUUUGCACAUUGAUUUUGUGUCAUGAGACUGCUGAGGUUGCUUAUUAUACACUGCGGUUGUGAGGUUAAAUUCCUCCUUUGGGAAACUUCAGUUUUUGCUCUUCAGGCCUUCAGCUGAUUGGAUGAGGCUCACCCACAUGAAGGAGGGUCAUUUGCUUUACUUAGUCUUCUGAUUUAAAUGUUAAUUAUAUCACACAAUACCUCCACAGCAACAUUCAGGCUAUGCUUGAGCAAACAACAGGGCACCAUAGCCUAGCCAAGUUGACAGUCCAGUGUAAAGUCCAUCCUUGAUACUUCUGGUAGCCCUGGUCAAGCAUUUUCCUCUUUGGUCUCAGUCUGCCCAUGUGUAAGAGAGGUGGCUAUAUUAGGAAGGUUUCCAGGGCCUUCCAGGUGAAAUGUUCCUGCUUCAUCCAGGAGACCUGAUGACCCCAGGUACAGGCAGUAGAAAGUACUUUGUGGGCUCCUGUACAGACCUCUUCCCCAGGGGUUGAGCACCCCCAUCUCUGUUUCUGUCAGUGUCUCCCUGAUUCUUAUUCUCCUCUUUGCAUUCUGCCAUGCACAUAGUCCAAGGGGCCACCAGCCCAGCCCCAAAUUGGCAUGUUAUGACAAUUCCAUCACCCAUUACGGAUUAGCAUAGCUGUGUCCCUUAAUUCAGAUUCCAGGGAGAGACAGUAUUUGGUUGCUGGCCAGCCAGCUGGAUGGCUGGAGCUGUGUCAGGUACCAACUCCAGGUUUAACCAGCUCUGGUUGGGAGCAGAAUCCUUUGGCCAGCUGCCAGCUCAGCAGGUGCUAUGGGAACAGAUUCCUGGAGAAAAGCCCCGUGGGGAGGGAGGCGGCCAGGAGAUAGGGGCUGCCCGGGCAGUUCAAAUUGACUGAUGCGUCCAUUACAGUUCCUUUACGCUUAAUGAUCUGCUGCCUUGCUGUUGUCACUGUUGAUUUGUUUGGUCUGUGGAGACUGUGUGGACCACAUGGCAUUAAACCCCACAUCAAGGGCACUCAUGCUGAUCAUGACAGCCAUGGAAAGGAGUAGAGAGGAAAAUAUUUUGAGGGCAAACAGAUCAAGAAUGAGAAAGCCGCUUUUGCCCUCACUAAUGACCCUAAAAUUUACUCAAUGAUCCAGAAACCCUAAAAGUAAAGCCAUUAGUCACAAUGUUGUCAGAGUAAAAAGGAAAGAAAGAAUAAGCCGUGUGUUAUCAUUUUAGAAUCCAUUCCACACAAGUGCCCAUUUCAAACGCCUGAAUGCCUGAACCAUGCAGGUUGAUUUAAUUAUCGUUUGCCCUGCAUGCUAUGGAGUCAGCCACAUGCCCUGCACACCCCAGCAUCAGGGGAUGGCCUGUGUCAAGCUGAGGGCUCGUGCAUUUCCUUUGUGCGCAGGGGCUGGGGCUUUCUUGCCUGCCCAGCUGAGCUGUCCUCCUGUCAGCUUUGAGGGCAGCGGUGUCCAGUCUCCGACGGUGAUGUAGACAGGACCUCCGCAUCACUUCUAGGACAUCUCUAGGUGGAGAGUGAGAAAGAGAGGGAGAAUGCUCAAACAGGUUGGGGGGCUCAAGAACACCUCCCGUGAGUGGGGGGCAGCCCACUUGGGGGUGGGAGCACUCCCUGAUUUCCUGGUAAGUUGCCGCAUAAUAUGUAAUCAUUAGAUUAUUUGUUUACUUGUUUCUCUCCCCUGAUAGACUAAAUUCACAGAGGGCAAAGCUCUUGUCUUGACUUUGCAAUAAUAAUAGUUUUCAUUGGUUGAUUGCCUGCUAUUGGCCAUGUUCUAUGUUGAAUUCUUUACAUAUAUUAGCUCUAAUCUGCAUGGUAGAUUAUCGCUCUUUGACAGACAGGGAAAUGGAGGCUCCAAGAGGUUAAGUACAUUGUCCAAAGUUAGACAGCUGUAUGGGACACAGUUGGAAUUUAAACUCAUGGACUUUUCAUCUUUCCAAGAGCCUCUUACAUACGUGAUGUCUGCACCAUACUGAGUAUUAAAUACAUACCUGUGGAAUGAAUGAAGAUAUACGCAGCUGCUUCUCUUCCUCUUCUCUAUGGCUCCUCUAUGGCCUGUUGAACUUUGGGAGACAAGGUUGGCUGUUGGCAAAAUUUGAAAAUCUGCCCUCCCUUUCUUUGUGUCUUUCCUAUUUUGCAAGCUACCAUUCCGGACCUAGAAGCAACACAAUGUAGUGGAAAGAACACUCAAUUUGGAUUUCAACAGAGCUGGCUUGGAACCCUGGCUCCACCGAAAGCUCUCUGGAGUUAUUUAACCUCUUUGAACCUCAGGUUCCCUGUCUAUAUAAUGAGAAUAACAGCACCCAUGGCAGAAACAUGGCGAGGAUUUGGUGGCACAAGGAUGUAAGUGGCACCUGGGCACUGGGCUCAGAGGUGGUAUUCAGGAAGUGGAAGUUCCCCCAUUUUCCCCCAGCCACCUUCAUGCCUGAUCUCUGCCCCACUCUUGGGCUUUAGAGACACGUGCUGGGGUCUUGGUUCCUGGAAAGAUAAAGUGCUACAAAAAUUAAAUUCUAGAAAAUCCUACAGAAAACUAGAAAACUCGGUUCUCUGAACUUUAGUCAUUAAAAGUGUCACACGCAAGGGAUGAAAGAUUUUAAUUUGAUUCAAUUCAGUUCUGUUCUGCAGACACUGGCGCCACAGCCCCUGCAGUAGGCAAUGAGCUGGCCUGAGGACACAGAACUCCUGUCUCAAGGUGUUCACACUCAGCUCUGGGGGAAAGACAGCUAUGAAGCAAAUAGUUUGAAAUGUAGAACCCUUGGGUACAACAGAGAACUGUGUAGUAGGUCCCAAAGCGGCACAAUGGGAGCAGGGGCACAGAAGGGCAGAGAGCCAGGGGAGGCCUCUCAGAGGAUGAAAUGAAUAAGGUGAGUAUUAAGGGAUGAAUAGGUGUUUACCUGCUAGGAGAGGAGGUAGGAAAGUCACAGGAACCAGCCUGUGAAAGAGAUGGAGAGGCCACACUGUUUGAUGGAAGGGCUGGAGAACAAUUUUGUAGCAUUCUAUGCACAGUUGCUGGGGAGUUCUCCAAAAUUCACCCAUCUUCAGCACAGUUUGAGAACCCUGUGGGCCAGUAUGUUCAGGGAAGACUUCCUGGAUAAUGCUGUCUCUGCUAAUUUAGAAGGCAUCAUUUCUGCCCUAGAUAAUGCUAGGAUAAGGCUUACAUAUUUUACAAGUUUUUCCUCCUCCCCCUCUUUUUCACACAUAGCAUUAUAGAGUGAUUCAUUCCUUUGUUCAAAAACCAUAUUUUAAUAGCUCCUGGGAUGUGCCAGGCCCUGUGUAUGUGUUGGUUCUGCAGAGCUAAAACCCAUAAAAAUUAUUCUCAGUCCAGUGGGAGAGUUGCUGUUGUCAGCAGAUAAUUA